rnacentral:rRNA from 1 species
GACGAACGCUGGCGGCGUGCUUAACACAUGCAAGUCGAACGAAAAGAGGGAAAGACCUUGCUCUUUCCGGAUUUGAUUGCAAAAGGGUGAAUUAAAACGUAAACAACCUCCCUUCAGGAUGGGGACAACAGCCGGAACCAACGGCAAAUACCAAAAAAGUUCCAGGGGCCGCUUGGCCCAGGAAGAAAAAGGUGGCCCCACCCUUAAACCAAUGCCCGGAGAGGGGUUUUGCGUCGGUUUAGCGGUUUGGGGGGGUACCGGCCCACCAAGGCGACGAUCAGUAGCCGGUCUGAGAGGAUGAACGGCCACACUGGAACUGAGACACGGUCCAGACUCCUACGGGAGGCAGCAGUGGGGAAUCUUCCGCAAUGGGCGAAAGCCUGACGGAGCAACGCCGCGUGAGUGAUGACGGCCUUCGGGUUGUAAAACUCUGUGAUCCGGGACGAAAAGGCAGAGUGCGAAGAACAAACUGCAUUGACGGUACCGGAAAAGCAAGCCACGGCUAACUACGUG